CUCUGUAUGGGGGAAGUGAUUUUCUUCUUUCUUUCUUUGUUCUUGCCUAUUAAACUUUCCGCUCCUUGAAAAUCACUCCACGUACGUCAUUUCAUUAUUCUUAGUGGUGUGAGACAAAGGACCCUAGUGUUUCUCCAGUCAUUAGAGUCGUAUUAUUUUGGUGCAUUGGCUGGAAUCCAAGGUACAACAUUCACUGGAGUGAUUUUGACUCUUUUUGUUGACAAUAAUGUGGUGCCCAAACAUGUGGGGCCUCAGAAAAGACUCAGGACCAUGAAGUUGCCUGAACCUGGAGUUAAGGUACCAGCUGGAACCCACUGAAAGCCUCCCUUGACUUAGAGCUUCUUCUCUG
rnacentral:lncRNA from 10 species